UUUUUACUGUCUUUCUUUGAGCAGUGAGAAAUGACCAAAAAGUAUGUUUUUUAGCACAGAAGAACCAUCAUAUGAACAAAUAAUGUAUAUAUGAGCAGUAUUUUUUGCUUAAUCUUUUUUUUUCAAUCGGGUUUCAAUGGAAACAAAGUCAUUUGUUGUAAUACACUCGCGACACCGAUUGCCAGUGAUUGGCUUCUUUUCCCGCUGACACGUGCUUACGUAUAAUGUAUACAGGUUUAGGAAAAAUCCUAACUUACAAGACAAAAUCGAAUUGUAAAAUUGGACGUACCACUAGUAGCUCACAUUGUAAAUCAGCAGCCUUAUCACUGCCAGGUACUCACAUCGCAAGAUCGAGUACUUCUUCGGCUUCCCCUGCCAAAAAUAUAAAAGAGUCCACAUGAAACACGCCAACUAUGUCGGCCUACCAGGAACGAUGUCUAGAAGACGAACAUGACACUCACACCAAUUUCAAAGCGCGACCCCAUUAUGUUCGCGUCUGUCCGUUUAGUCCCAAAAGGACAGACCGCAUGGCCCAAUGCGCGACCCCAUCAUUACUUUUUGUCUAUUUCACGUCUGGUCCGCUUCAUUUCCUGCUCAAACAUCCACCGGCUUUGCGUCCACACGGACGACGAACGGACGCCGACGCGCUCGCUCAGCGUUCGCUUCGAGCCCGCGUGGCAGCUGCGCACCUACCAUCCACCACACACAUUUACCGCGCACAUGCGGGCAAUCCUACUUGGCAGCCAUCCCGGUCGAGCAGUCGUCGUCUUUUUUAAUGUGAAGGUCGUGGACCGAUGGAGUCCACACUUCCACUUCCCCGGUGAUGCGUGCCUCCUCGUAGCCCGACAGCCAAACCCUAGCCCACCGCUCCUCUACCUCCCCACCAGCGACAAUGGUGGGCCGCUGGUUUCCCGGCCGCAAGACGAGGCACGACCACAAGGCCAGGUCCUUGUCUGGCGGCGUCGCCGCUUCCCCACUCCACCUCCGGCCUGGCAGGGGCCGCCAUCCCACCUCUGGCAGCCACCUUCAUACGUCGACCUCACCGGCGACGACGAUGAUGAGUAGACGGCGGCUACGGAAGGCGACGAAAGCCCUUAUCUAGUUUCUUUUUACAUGUUUUUGUUUAUAUUAAUGUGCGGAACUUGGAUAAUGGGACGUUUUAAUGUUUAUAUUAAUGUUUUCGAGUUGUUUUCAAUGUUUAUUUGGUUUUUUGGGGUUUUAAAUUCACGUCAUAAAAACGGUCAGUUUGGGGUGCGGUCGGCCCGUUGGGCGCACCGCAGGCCCUUAUUUUUUUUUAAUGUUUUUGUUUAUAUUAAUGUGCUGAAGUUGGGUAAUGUGGAUGUUUUAAUGUUUUCGAGUUAUUUUUGAUGUUUAUUUGGGUUUUUUGGGGGUUUAAAUUCACGUAUGAAAAAACGGAUAGUUUGGGGUGCGAUUGGCCCAUUGGGCACACCGCAGGCCCUUAUCUAGUUUGUUUUUAAUAUUUUUGUUUAUAUUAAUGUGCUGAAUUUGGGUAAUGCGGACGUUUUAAUGUUUUUGAGUUAUUUUCAAUGUUUAUUUGGGUUUUGGGGUUUAAAUUCACGUAUAAAAAAACGGAUAGUUUAGGGUGCGGUCGGCUCGUUGGGCGCACCGACGACCGCUCAACCGUAAGUGGACGACGAUGUCCGUUUUCCUGCCAAAACGGACGAAAAACGAACGAAACGGACGUCCGUUUGGGUCGUGCGUUGGAGUUGGCCUCACUCAGCAAACACAUAUCACUUUCUGCAUUUAUUUCCUCCUCUCCGUAUAGCCUGCUCUUCCCGUACCUGAUGCCGGAUCCAAGCACCCACGAGCACAGGUUGUAGAAAUCGUGCAGCAUCCUCUGAAUGUUCUGCCAGUGCAGGGGGUUCGAUCUGGGGGUGCUCUGCCACUCGGAAUCUGCACUCACAACAGUUCAAUGUAUGUUCAGAAAAUUGACGUUAGCUGCAUCAGAAAUUCAGAAAGUACGAGCCGCAGCUUCCUUCGCACACGCGUCCACCGAGCAGCUGUCAUCCGUCGGGGCCCCUGUUUCUUCAUCGCCACCAUUGCCGCGCACACGGCCGCCUCACCGCAAUCGCCGUCAAUCGACGGCACUGGGAACCUGCUCACCAACAAUAACCUAUCAACCCACGAAGCCAAUCUGAGCAUACAGCCUAGGCCAGUGGGAAAUCAAGUCGAAAAUCUUACCUAUCGACCCGAUCUGAUAGGAACUCGAAGCCUCCCGUCAUCCUGCCCGCUGACUUCAUUUGCUGGAAUUUUUCCUGGGCGUCGUCUCUGUUCGAGUCCACGCAGGAGGGCGGGGACAGCGGUGCCUACAACCCCAUCCUCGCAAGCGGACGGCCGGCACCGUUGCCUGUUGACUGUUCGGAGUUCGCCGCCGACAAUCUGAUGUUCCCGCAAACGCCGUUCAGGUCUACUCGGAGCCUGGCCGUCGGUCGCCCAACUCACCAAUGUUGAACUGGCCUACUGCAUCUAGCAGACCUAGAGCGGGCUGUGCCGGUGGCGCGUAGUCACCACCUGCUAACGCCCGCACAGGGAACCUAGCCAACGGGAGAACGCUCCCUGAGAUUCAUGAUCCACCGUCAAUGGAAAUCAAACGAGGGCAAUAAGCAUACCGAUCGACUGGAUCUGCUAAGAACUCGAACCCAUCCCCCACCGUCUCCAUCGUCAACCCUCUCAAGCCGCGCACCGAAACCGGAGGAAUAGUUUCUUAGAAUAGCAGGUACCCUUCUCGUUGGAGCCCAGUUGCCGCUUGCCAGUACUAUAUUUUCUUAUUUUUUCCACCUCAAACGCCGUUUGUGAAAGCCGGUAAACGGAGCUCCGGUUAUCCUGUACAGAUGGGCCAUCAUCACCCAGUUACGUCCUCCGUCAACACGUCAGGCGGACCCAUUCCUGUACAUGCGGCAGUAUUUCUACCAUCCAUAAAUGCAGAUGAAACGUGAGGCUGCACCAUUGGUCCAUAUAACGGGAGUAGGCGAGCUCGUGCGCUCUUUCGCCACUCUCGGUAGAUAUAUAUAUACUAGCACAUAUGACGAUGCGUUGUAACGGGGUAAUAAAGACAUAGACAUUAUUUUAUUGGCAAACUUGAUGACAAUACCUGUAUGAAUUUCAUACAACUUUUACUAAUAUAUCUUUAGCUAAAUAGAAAAUGCAUAUAACAUUAACAUCUUUCAAUACUGCAAGGUUUGGGAAGUGACGUGCAAAUUUAUGUGAAUGACUUUUUAUGAAUUGAAGUAGCUAAGGAUUAAUAAUGGGAAAUUUAUAAAAAACAUAUCUUCUGUUCUGAGCAAUCAUGAAUAAUUUACACUGAAAUUAGUUGAUGUCAGAUUUGCAAGCGGCCUAAAAAGCAGCCUAAUGCCUCAUGCGUAUUGUUGCUCAAGUGAACAAUGCACAAAUUCUUUACUUUCGCCGAAUUCCAUUUGAUCAUGUACAAGCAAGGCACAUCUGAUAUUACUCAAGCAUAGGUUCAACAAUAUUGUUUAUUUAAUGUUUAUCAUGUAAUAUGCAUCCAUUUUUCGCCAAGCCCCCAUCUGCUCUUUAUAUCUCUAUUUCUAAUGGAGCAGUUGGUAUUCUCCGCCGUUCAAUUUUCGUCCCACCUCCCCUAGUUUUUUUUGGUACUUCGUCCCACCUCCCGCUACCCACCGAUCCCCCGCUACUUCCCUCCCAACCGGUAAAAAAACGUCAAGUUAUAACGCCGUGUGAACCGUGACGGUUCAGCGAUAGAAAAACGACCUAAAAAAUCUACUACGGUUAACCUACGAAAUUACACCUGAUAGUACGAUCCGAGACAGAACCCCUAGCACCCGAAAAUCGUCGUGCCCUCGAUGCACUUGCCCGUCGCCGUCAUUCGUCCCUAUCGUCCCUUUCUACACGCAGCUUCCGUCCCAGCCGCUCAUCCCUUGUCCGCCUUCACCGCCGGUCAAUCCCUUCGACGCCGCCAUCCGAGUGCAAAUACAGGAAGAUCCCGUAUCAUCCGUCGCUGAUCAUCGGAUCUGGACAGGCGAUUGCAAAGUCAUGAGGAUCCCGCAUGAUCCCUCUGAGUGCCCAUGAUAUGGACCGGCGUGGGACGAAACAGGUUGGGCGUUUAUGUAAUUUAACCCUUACAAAUCCUAUUGCUAACCCUUACAAAUCUGGAUCUAUACUCCUGUUCACUCCUCGCCAGGUUGAUUGAGAAUCUGGAAUUGAAAAAUACAAGUUCCGUCACCAUUCAAUCACUCUGAAAAAGGAAAUUUACACCUAACUGCCGAAUAUGAUGAGGCCAUAUCUGCUUUGGUCAAUUUGUCAGUCCCAAAUUCAUUACUAUUUUUAUGUGAAUGCUUGCAGGUGGUGAGUCAUCUCUUUGCCCGGGGUCAGUAGAAGCAUCAAGUGGCAAUAGUCAUCUCUUUUACUUGCACAUAACUGACACCCAGUUUUCUUGCAGCUGAUUUCUACUCUAGGAGUUUGGGGCUAGUGACGGCCCUCGGAGACGGUGUCAUCAGUAGCAGCAUCUGCCAAGGAUCUCGAGUCUGCAGCUCACAACCGGAUCACAUGCAAAAAGUGACACAAACAAAAAGGUAGUUACGACACUUGAAUCUAAUAGGUUCCAUGCAGUAGUCAAGGUUUGUAUGCCAAAAGGAAGAAUGACAUUGGUGACCAUCAGAUAGUUGUAAUGUAUUAAGUCCAACUAUAGUAAACCAUACGGUAGAGUUGAACCUUCAAUAUGGAUGACCUGAAGCUUCAGUACUAUAAUAAACCAUCUGUGUGAAGUGAAUCAAAACAAAUGAAAAAUAAACUACUUAUAAUAUGAACUGAUCCAUAACAAAUAAUAAACCAUAUAUGGUUGAGCUGAAGAUUCGCAAAACCUAAUGCAUGAAAGGAACAGAAGUAGUACUAUAGUAGGUGCAAGUGGCAUAUCUACUUGUUUCACCAAAGAUCACAGGAACCGGCUCUUUCGCCAUGCCAGGAAGUUCUUUCGAUCAUUAGGAUGCUAUAUAUAUCCAAGCCCUAGGUAGUUACUUAAAAGUGCAUGAGUAUGCCAGUUAAGUGUGUCUGAUAACCUUGUUGAGAUGAUUUUGAGCUUGGGGAGCACCCUGAUCUCGAGUUUGCAUCUCACAUCUGCAGAAGAUCUCGAGUUUGCAGCUCACAACAGGAUCACAUGAAAAAAGUGACACAAGUAAACCAUCAGUCUGAAGAGAAACGAUACAACUGACCAAUAAACUACUUAUACUAUGAUAUGAUAAGGUUGAUCUGAAGCUUCGCAAAGCCUAAUGCAUUAACUCAACAGUAGGAGUACUAUAGUAGGUGCAAGUUGCAUAUCUACAGGUUUGACCAAAGAUCACAGGAACCUGCUCUUUUGCCGUGCCAUCAAGUUCUGAUGAUCAUUUGGAUGCUAUAUAUAUCCAAGCCCUUAGUGAUUAAAUAACAACAUAACAAAUAAAAACUGAUGCUAGAAGAUUGAUUGCAAGCAUGCUUUUUUACUGUAUAAUAUCAUGAAAAGGGUUUUCUUCGUGGAAAUACAGCAGUAUGACCAAAUGAUGAAUGUAUACGGUCCACAGAUAAAUGAUCAAAGAGAACAUCUAGCAGAGUUGAAGCCUCAUCCGAACUUCACUUCAGACAUAGGUCAUUAAUUGUCAGUAAUCUGUACUUACAUAGGUGCGUAUGGGUAAUUCAAGAAGCAAGGCGGUUGAUCAGCAACCAGAAGAGGACGUUACUACGGGUAAGCUGCAUUUCUAUGAGAAAGUACUACACAUAGGUUAUUCGCAAUCUUUUAUUAUCAUGUUUUGCAAGCCUUAAAAGCGUGAUAACUGUUGAAGAUAAUACUACGGGCAUGCUUAUACCUAUCAUAAUGUGCUACACAUGAGUUCUCUGCAUUUCUGAUAUUCACAUGCUUAAUGCAUAAUGCUUUCUAGACCUUACAAGCUCUAUAAUAGUUGAAGAUAACAAUGCAAGCAUCAUACAUGUAUCUCAAAACAUUGGGGAAAAUUCAGCUACGGUUCCAGGUAUAAUGCUCGUGUGAAUAUUGUUGGGAAUGUUGCCAUGUAGAUACGACGUUUAUAUCAUUGGCCUUAUAUUCAUCCUGGUUAUAACUCAAUAGAUGGAUCAAUGUCGUUUUCGGAUGGAGAGCACAAUGAGGCUUGCUUCACAGCUCCGAGUAUACUGAAUUUGGAUUUUAGCACAAAUCAAGAUGGUACUCACUCAGCCGCAUUACAUCUGCCAAGAUUCUUAUAAACAUAUAUUGUCGCCUAUAUACCAUUGAUUUUCUUUUCCUACUGGUUAUAACUCUACAGAUGGAACAAGUCCGCUACGGAUUAAAGACCAUCAUGAUGGUUCGUUGUUGGGUUCCAAUAAUCUAACUCUCGAUUGUGGCACAAAUGUAGAUGGCCACAAUAGUAUUGGUACUGACUCGUUCAUAUUUCAAAUGACAUUAGUGCACUUAUGGGAAUUCACUUUCAUUUACAACAUACCGCACUUUUUUCAUAUUGGUAUACUAUAGGCGGUGAACCUCCAAACGAUGAUAUCGAUGGUGCGACAAAGCUAACAGGUAUUCCCACUCAUGCUUAUCUAACAUCCAUAUUGACCUGACGUACAGAUGGUGCGACAAAGCAUUAUGGGCUUUGUGUUUUAUACUUUUGACAUGAUGCAGACGACAUCAGAUCCAUAGAUCUAAGUCAUAUAACAAAUGAACACCUCAACACACAAAGGCGUGCAGCUUAUCAUAAGAAAAAAGUACAAGACAAUGUGUUGUUGCAGGAGGUUCAACAGCCCUGCUUGUCGAAAUCUGGUAAGUUGUUUAACUGCAGGUUGCUCCUCUCCCACUCUACAAUGUGUUCUUGCGGCAUUCAAGAUUUGGAUCUGUUUUCUUUUAUUUUGUGUCAAUGUGAUCUACAUGAGUUUUUAAACAUAAUCGAGCUACAUGCAUUGACGGUUUUUAUUCACUAACUACCAUAUUUUUAAUUCAUCUUCUAGACCAGAGGGAACUUAACAAUGCGUGGAGGCGGGAAUCUUAUCGAAUUAGCAAGACAAAUGGUUUGAAAAAACAACAAGUCGAUGGCCACAUUGUUCAACGUCGUACCCUAGGUGAUAUCACGAAUGUUCGUCAACCUACACAUGUGAUCUCGGGUACAUCAAUUACUCAUUGUUUAUCAAUUUUCAUGCGUGGCGUCCCCUUGGUAUAUCAUAAAAGAUUACUGACCUACCAUGUUGAAUCAGAGGACAACAAUGUCACCAAAGAGAAUGUGGCAAUAACCGAAGAAGAUCGCAAAAGAGAUCAUAGAAACGCCCUCAGGAGAGCAUCUUAUCGGAGGAAAAAAGAUCAGGGUCUCCAAGAAAAUAAUCUCCGCACCCUUAAUUUAACUGGUAAGAAUUAAAUGUUCUAAACAUUAUCUUUAGUAUCUUCAAGUCAUGACUUAACCAUUAAAUUAUGUGUAUGUUUUAUUAACCAUGUUUAACCAGACAACCCAACUAGCUCCGCCUAUACAACAUUAUCGCAUACUGAUUCAGCAUUUACUGCUACAACUACGGAGACAUCUUGUCUGGUUAAUGACAAUGAUCUACAUGGUAACUACCUUGUGAAUAAGAUGUCAUCAAUGUGGUCAGAUUAUCUUUUACUCACUACAUUUGAAAUAUGUCCUCAAUGACACCAGACGUUGACGAGAAUAUACUUGAAGAAACAAAUCAUAUAACCGAGGAAGAUCGCAAGAGAGAUCAUAGAAAUGCUCUUAGGAGAGCAUCUUAUCGGAGGAAAAAGGAUAAGAUAUUAGCAGAUGAAAAUCUACGGCCACUAUCUAAUUCAGGUAAAUAUGGUUGUUAUUAAUGCACGGUGCAUACCAUCUGUUAUAAGAUGCUUUAGUUACACGUUGACUGAUAAAUAAUUGUUGCCGUAGAACCAACUUAAUAUAAUUGAUGCACAAAGCGUACCGUCAUAUGCUUGAUCUUAAUGCAAAUUAUUUAUAUUCGAGUACGAGAAUAAUGUUCUGAUAUUCAUUAGUCACUAAAACAAAAUUGUCCUAAUGAUGCUUGCGCACUUUUUUUGCAUUAAGCCCUAUGUUUUUAAGGCGACGCCUUACCGCCUUAGGGAGGGGGGGCGCUUUGGCGCCUAGGCGACGCCUAGGCGGGCGCUUUGGACGCCUAGGCGCCCAAAGCGGUCGAUUUUCCAAAGCGGAGGGGGAGCGCUUCGACGCCUAGGCGUCGCCUAGGCGUCACCUUAGGGACGCUUUAAAAACAUAGAUUAAGCCACCGCUGAUAGCCCUAACUAUACAGACUCGUUGCAUGAUGAUGCAACAUUACCCCCUCCAUCAUUAGACGCCUCUGGUGUUACCCAUGAUAACGAGCGAGCUAAGAGGAUACAGAGAAACUCUCGUAGCCGAGCAUGUUAUCAGAAGAAAAAUGAGGAACUAACGAUUGAUGAUAGAGAGGAUUUGAAUGAAAAGAUACGUAAGAAGCGCAUGCAACGCCAGAAAAGCAUGUCGGUGAUUGAGAAGGGGCACUCAAGUGCUCAAAGGAAGGCCUGUUAUGCUAAAGGGAAAAACACCCCGUGCAAAGAAUCCCUCGCACUCCCACGUCCAGACAUUACUAACUCAACAUCUGAUAGUCUCGCAAUACCCCUCGAUCGGGCUGUCGAAGAUGAUUCAUCGGAUGGCGACCCUCCCCCGGUCAUGCCGAAUUACGGUGUUUGCACCAAUGGUAUGUAAUUUCUUUUGUUUGGUUCUGUUGCUCAUUCUCAUCAACCUUGUUCUGACAUGAUGCGGUCUUUGUCCCAUUCUCCGCAACGUUAAUGCAGACGACAUCGAUGUGUUCCCAGGGCCCAUCAUGGGCGAUGAGCCGACACCAGCCGAAUUAAUGGAUGAGGAGUACUACAUGUAUCGCGACCAAGGUAUGGUCAACUCGGAAAUUGGAAGGCGUGGAGCUUUAUUGUAAUUGUAGUACUAUGUGAAUAUUAUUUUGAUGAUCAUGUUUCAACAAAUGCCUGUAGGAUCUGAUAAUGACACAUUCGAGGAUGACGCGGAUGCGAGCAUGUCGUCUGUUAUACCUAGCGAGGUUGAUCCAUUAGACUAUGUGUACACAAACAUACCGGACAACACCCACAUCCUGAAGCUCGACGCAAACUGCAAACACUGCAAGGCCAGAAAGUUUGUGUCUGAGACUGACGGAUUCUGCUGUCGUAAUGGACAGACCGAGCUUAAACAACCGGAACCAAUCCCAGAGCUUAUGAGGCUAUGGUCCAGCAUGGAUGCAGAUUCUAGACAUUUUCGUGAGAACAUACGGUUCUUCAACGGGCAUUUCGCCUUCACAACCCUUGGCCUCAACCUUGAUGAGAACUACACAAACAUGAAGUCUGGGGUGUACACAUUCCGGGCACACGGAACCAUCUACCACAAUGUGCAUUCUUUCGGGCCUAGCUCACGUCCAGAACAUCUGCAGUUGUACUUCUAUGAUGACGACCCAACCAUAACUCAUCGUAAGGAGGCCACUAAGCAAUUAGACCAAGAUGUCGUGAAGAAGUUAGUAGACAUACUUAAAGAAAACCCGUACUCCCAGCAAUUUAGGAGUUUGGGUGCACACAAGGACAACCUUGAUGAUUAUAGGAUAGACCUAAACACCGAUAAGAGGCUUGACCAAAGAAAAUAUAAUAGACCAUUGUCAUCUGAGGUUGCUGCAAUUUGUGUUGAGGGCAGCGACCUGGCAAAAAGGUUUGACCGGAGGAUAACACUUUGUGGUAACAACAAUGAAAGGCAUAGUAUACGCGUGUCAUCUGGAGCAUAUGACCCGUUGUCUUAUCCCCUAUUCUAUCCAAGGGGGGAACUAGGUUGGCAUCCGAAACUACUUAAACGUAAUGUUCCGGAGGAGGCUAUACUACAUCCUCAACUGGUCCAUGAUGAUGAGGAGGAUGCAGGUAUGACGUCUGUGUCCCUUUUUGGUUCAAAUAAUAAAUUAUUUCUCAAAUACGUCGUCAUUUUGAUGCUAUUCCAUCAUGUGCAGAGGGUAAUAGCAGGUUGUGCGUCUCUGUCAGAGACUACUACUGUUAUAUGCUGCAAACACGGCCUGCAAUCUUCAAUCCCAUACUCUGUGGAGCACGCCUGCUGCAGCAAUGGGCGGUCGACAUGUACGUUAAGAUUGAGAGUUGUUGGUUGAGGUGGUACAGGAAGAACCAGACGCAGAUUCGUGCCGACUUGUAUAAAGGAGUUGUUGAUGCCAUCACUUCGGGGGAGACGCGAGCAAGCGCUGUUGGGGUUAGAAUAGUGCUCCCUGGAACAUACCCUGGUGGCGACCGCGACAUGAAGAAGAGGCAUAUGGAUGCCAUGGCAAUUGUCCAUACAUACGGGAAGCCUGACAUCUUCCUCACCAUGACUUGCAACCCUAAGUGGGAAGAGAUAACGAAUGAGUUGCUGCCUGGUCAGACGGCGCAAGACCGACCUGAUAUUGUGGCUCGUGUGUUCUAUGGCAAACUAGAGCACAUGAAAUACAUGUUGUUCAAGAAGCAGAUCCCGGGUGCUGUAGUCGCUUACGUAUACGUAGUCGAGUUCCAAAAAAGGGGCCUCCCCCACGCACAUUUUUUGUUGAUCAUGGACUCAACAUAUAAGCUUAUCGUCCCGGAGCAGUAUGACCGACUCAUUUCCGCGGAGCUCCCAGACAAGCAAAAGUAUCCGGAAUUGUAUGCAAUGGUGGUAAAACAUAUGAUGCACGGACCAUGCGGUGCUCUCAACCCGAAGAAUGUUUGCAUGCAAGAAAACGGUUGCAAGUGCAGAUAUCCACGGUCGUUCAAUGAAAACACAGCACAGGGGAAGGACUCAUACCCAGUUUAUCGACGGAGAGACGAUGGAAGACGUGCUAAGGUCCGAGGGAAGAUGUUGGACAAUAGAUGGGUUGUGCCUUAUAACUCAUACCUACUGCGGAUGUUCAAUUGCCACAUCAACGUUGAGGUCUGCUCUAGCAUAAAGGCCGUCAAAUAUCUUUACAAGUACAUUUACAAGGGCCAUGAUAAGGCUUCUUUCAGCAUCGAUCAGCCCGACGCCGAUGGUAACAUUGAUGAGAUCAAGAGAUACGUUGACGCAAGGUGGGUCACCCCUCCGGAGGCUAUGUGGAGGAUAUUUGGCUUCCCACUUUGCGCCAAUUACCCGCCUGUCUUGUAGUUGCCCCUUCAUCUCCCGAAUAUGCACAGGGUUGCAUUCAAUGCGCAGACUGACUUGAAGAAUGUUGUCGCCUCCGAAGAUGCUUCAAAAUCCAUGUUAACGGAGUAUUUCAAGGCUAACCAGGAACACCCUCGGGCUAGGCAUAUAUUGUACAAGGAUUUUCCCGAAAGCUUUACGUGGCAGAAGAAAAAAAGUAUUGGAAGCCGCGGGUCGAGCGUUUUCAAAUUGGGCGCAUAGUGUCUGCCAAUCCUGCCGAGGGGGAGCGGUACUACCUGCGUGUGUUGCUUAACCAUGUUACGGGCAAAAUAUCCUUCGUAGACUUGCUCACCGUGGACGGCAUGCUAUGUGGGAGCUUUAGAGAGGCUGCUGAAAGGCUGGGACUCAUCGAGGCAGACAACACGCUCGACGACUGUCUUAAUGAGGCUGAGCAGUGGGCGAUGCCAUGUUCACUUAGGAGGCUCUUCGCAACCAUCUUGGUGCACUGCGAGCCAGGCGACGUGCGUGGUCUAUGGGAUCGGCACUUCGAGCCUAUGUCAGAUGACUAUCGUCGAUCACGCACGUCCCCUAACGAGGUGGAGCACAUGGUGUUGCUUGACAUUAGGGGUAUGUUGUAGUCCAUGGGUAAAGACAUUGUUGAUUUCGCUCUUCCAAGCAUAGAUGAUGCGUUUGACCCAACAAAGGGCGAGGCAAGAGAGGUUAUCGAGGAAUCAACCGUUGAGUUUGACAUGGAUGACACAAAAUUGGCAUCUUCACUGAACAUGGAGCAGAGGGCCGCAUACGAUGAGAUACUAGGGGCUGUUGAACGCGGUGAUGGGGGUGUAUUCUUUGUUGAUGGCCCUGGAGGUACAGGGAAGAGCUUCCUAUAUAGGGCGAUGCUUGCCAAGGUGAGGAGCCAGGGCAAGAUUGGUAUCGCUACCGCGACGUCCGGCAUCGCCGCUUCUAUCAUGCCUGGCGGCAGGACUGCCCACUCAAGAUUCAAGAUCCCAUUGAGUUGCGAUGAUGGAGCCUCGUGCAGCUUCACCAAGCAGAGUGGGACCGCCAAGCUACUACGGAUGGCCUCAUUGAUACUAUGGGACGAGGCCAGCAUGACUAAGCGACAAGCGGUUGAGGCAUUGGACAAUAGCAUGCGCGACAUCAUGGGAAUACACGACCGACCCUUUGGAGGAAAGACUGUUGUUUUUGGCGGGGACUUUAGGCAGGUUCUUCCGGUCGUCAGAAGGGGGUCGCGGGGCCAGAUAAUUGAUGCAACCCUCCGCAGUUCUCAUCUAUGGAAGGGUAUGCGACAGCUUUGGCUCAUCACCAACAUGAGGGCUCAUAAUGACACGUGGUUUGUCGAUUACUUGCUAAGGGUCGGCAAUGGCACUGAGGAUGUCAACGAUCAAGGCAACAUAGUACUCCCUGAAGAUAUUUGUCUGCCGUCUACAGGCGAGGUUGAUGACCUGGAGAAGCUUAUUGACCAUGUAUUUCCGAGUCUAGACGACAACAUGGCUGAUUCGAAUUACAUGACAUCUCGAGCUAUCCUUUCCACAACAAACGACAAUGUAGACAAGAUAAACAUCCGCAUGAUAGAGCGUUUUCAUGGAGAUGAAGUAAUCUACCAUAGCUUUGACAGUGCGGAGGAUGACCCAUAUGGCUACUAUGCUCAGGAGUUUCUGAAUGGAUUGACUCCUAAUGGUCUUCCUCCGCAUGCUCUCAAGCUAAAGCUGAACUGCCGUGUCAUACUUCUAAGGAACAUUGAUCCAGCUAAUGGACUGUGUAAUGGCACUAGGCUUGUUGUUAGAGGUUUUGAGAGGAACACCAUUGAUGCAGAAAUCGUGAUUGGACAACACGCUGGCAGGAGGGUCUUCCUUCCUCGAAUACCUCUCUGCCCAUCUGAAAAUGACAUGUUUCCAUUCAAGUUUAAGAGGAAGCAAUUUCCAAUAAGGCUUAGCUUUGCUAUGACCAUUAACAAGGCUCAAGGGCAGACCAUCCCGAUUGUUGGUGUCUACCUACCCAAUCCCGUGUUCUCACAUGGUCAGCUCUAUGUUGCUUUGCCUCGAGCCACCGCGAAGAGAAACAUAAAGAUACUCAUUCAGAAGGAAAAGCCGAAGGAGAAGGCCAACAAGCAUAAGGACAAUACAAAGAAGCGAAAAAGAAUGACCGUGUCCUUACUGACCUCGAUGAAGAACAUCGUAUACAAGGAAGUCCUUACAGGCUGAAGACCGGUUAAUACCAAGGCAGGUUUUGUAAUGACAGGGCAAUUACUCUUGCGAUUGUCAAGACAUGCUGUAAUUCGUUUUUCUACAUGUAACUUUUUAUUUGUUAUUUUGAUAGCUGGAGGUAUACUCGAUCAACUUGAGCUACGCAAUGCAGUUCAAUAAUCAGCCGUCGUAUUGGCACCAUCAUCGCGCUUAUGGUUUUUCUACUAUCGUUUUUUAUGGCAAUGUACAUGUCACACAGCGUAGUAUUUAGUGUGUAAUAUGUGAUCCAGAUCUAAUGAUUGGCCUGCUAAAUACCUUGGACAUGCAAUGAACUUUUUGAAUUAAGGCAAGUUAUCAUAACCGUUCUUAUUUUUUUGGUAAUUUGAUACUAUGCUUGACUGUAAAUUUAUUGGUGUCCUUAUUAUCUAUCUAUUAUUCUGAACAGAGUGGCUCCUGGUGCCGCCACGCCUUUGAUCUCCUCCGCCAAUCCACUACGAUCCUACUAAUCCGUGUUACAGGUUCGUUCAUUUUCAUCCAUUGUUUUUCUCAAAUCGAUCAGAACAUAGUGGCUUUUCUGGAUCUGCACUUUUCAGGCAGGGAGGCCGACGCGGGUGUGGGAUUGCUGGUUUAUGCUGCUCCGUAUGGCAGAUAGCGCGUGUGUCUGUGAGAAAGGCGCAAGGGCCAGAGCAGCUCUAUCCAUGUGUGUAAUUUUGAUGCCGACGAGCAGCAGCAGCCAGGCCUCACGUGUUGAGAGAGAUAGAGAGAUGAGCUAUAAUUUUUAAAUACUGAAUGAUCCCACUGAUCUGUUGCUUCUGCUAAUGCAUUAGCAUAGAGCAUUUGCCUAAUUACGUUGCUGCUAAUGCAUACGCAUAAAUAGACAACAGUAUGUUGUUUGCUAGCUAUCGGAGCGUGUACUUCUACUAUUAUUACGAGACGUGCUCUACUAUUGUUUCUCAUUUGUACGUAUGUGUGUCAUUAAGACAGUCGUGAUGAAAAAGAAUAAACACUAUUCUCCCAUAGUGUAAUUAUAUUAUUUGAUAUAGAUGAUGAUCGUACAAUUAUGUGUUAGGCAUGAUAUAUGUGAAAAACACUAAAAUUGUCUAUUAUCCCAUAGCUACGCACGGGCAUUUACCUAUAUCAUAAUUAUAUAUAUCAUCAAGGGAAUGGAAAAUUAAAAUAUAAUAUAAUUAAUUAAUAUAUUAAUGUGAAUAUCAGAAAGGUUAAUAAAUAUCCAUAAAAAAGAAAGUCUGUUUUUCAAAGGCAAGUGAUAAAUCAGAUUCGUUUUCAUAGGCAAGUGAUCAUAAUGUGAAUCAAACUGAAGAUCAUGGACCGAUUUUGAUAUGUAUGUUUCCUUGAUUAAUAAUCAAUAUUUAAUAGGUUGCCGAAUAUUACAUAUCUGAAUAUAGAUAUGUCACCAACGGGUGCCUAGCCAGCCAAAAACAAAAUUUCAUCACUAUUUCAUUUCCCCGCUGCCCACAAAUUUUCUAUAGAGGAACAGUCAUCUCCUACACGACGACCAUGGUGAUCUCAUAUGGAUCGAUCACAUCUAAGAGGGUGGCGGCGCCGCCGCUAGCUCCUGUCAUCAAUCAACUCAUCUCCCCUCCGAUGGACAGGCAAGAUAGAAUAAUAUUUUAGUACGUCUAUUUGACAUCACUAUAUAAUGGGUUUUUUCUUGAAAUAAUCACCAUUGUUUUGCCAAUUGUUCUUUUAUCUAAAAAGAUGGAGCACAUGGGAUAUACUAGAACAUAGUAAUAGGCUUGGCGACCAAAUCGUCUAUUGUCGGCUUGUUUUCAUCUUGUAUAUUAGUUAAAACUAGAUGGACAGUAAGUCUGAAUUACAUAAAUUUUUUUCAUCGUGUACAAACCAGAUGUAGCAAGCACUAACACAAUCACCUGAGUAUAUUUAUAUUUGAUUAGCAUUCAUUUAUAUAGUUUUUUAAGCUAAUAGAUUGAUGGUCUGGCUGUAAUCUCAUUGGGGUUGUUUCUUAUAACCAUUGGGUACUGCAUGUUUUCAAAACCAUUUUUGGCAUGAUUAGUGUUGGGUAAUUAGAAUGUUAUGCUCCUUGUCUGCUAAAUUCUAUGCUCCCCUUGGAAAAUAAUUUUACCUGAUCCUUUUGUUUUUUUAUACGCACAGGAACAUGGAUUUUCAUCGCGUCCAAAUGGAACACAUAUAUCAUAAUUGCUGGAUUAUUCAAGCUAGGGUCAUGUGGAAGGCUCACGUAAAAGAGAAUGGCAUGGGAAACUUGUACCUUCAGUGCAUACUACUCGAUCGGCAUGUAAGAAUACUUUAUAGCCCAUAUUUUUUAAAUAUAAUUUUGAUAAACAUGUUUUUUUGCUCAUUGUUGUAUUGUUUCUUGAAAAUAUAUUAGGGAUCAAAGAUGGAAGCGAUUGCAUUCAACAGCCAGGCAAUCCGUUUCAACAGCGUGCUAGAAACCGGUAGGACCAAUGAUUUCAAUCGCGUCGGGUUCAACCCCACAGAAAUGCCAGAUGGACAUUUCUGGUACCUAGCCAUGGACUUUGUCACCACACUAAGUUCUACGACCGAGGUUACGAUGUCGGCGCAGCAGAUAACGUCGACAAUUUGCCCACCGUGCUUCCCACAGUUUGGAGAAAUCUUUGAGCUAUGGGACAAAACCAUCACAGGUGCAUCAUUUAGUUAGUUGUUUUUGCAUAUUACUCCGUACAACUCAGAGUCUCAUUGUGAUUUCAAAUUUGCAGAUGUGGUUGCUAUCCUUGCCUAUGUUGGUCAGAUAGAAUUUAAGUGGGAUUCAAUAUAUAGGCGCCGCGUCCCUUCCCUCGAGAUUGGACUCAUGAACUUUCAGUAAGCGCUAAUUAUAAUAUGAGAUUAUUAUAUGCUUCUUUUUGUAAUUCUAUUGUUGCAAUGAUACUCACAUUUGUAUUUGUUUGUAGACAGCAGAUAAUUUUCUUACGUGUACGUGAAGAGCACGUUGGGCCUCACUUCUGGCAUUUGCAAUACACUGACAAUCUGUUCGAGAAGUUUGCUGUAACUUACAUACAGGUAAAUCAGAGGCAGCGUUGCUUGCAAACUAUGAGGGAGAGCACAUUCUUCUUCUCUUCCAAUAUUAUUGAUGAUCAUCAUUAUCUACAAGGUAGGGGCUGUGUUAUAUUUUAAAUUUGUUCUCAAUAUAUUUUUCCUGUAAUACUAUGUCACUACUAUAUAACACUGAUUGUUAUCGUAGAUAUCCAUGAAGCCAGCCUGAUGACACUUGAUGAAACACAUGCGUACGUCAAUCGUGUUAUUCAAGGUAGGAACAAUGGACGUCAGAAGUAUCACAGCUGAAAUUAGAGCAUCCUUGAGGGUUUUGAACGACUGACUAUACUGAUGCAUAUUCAAAUGUCGCAAAUAAAUGGCUUGUACAGUUUUGUUAUGGAUCGAAUUGAGAAUUAUCAUUUUGGCAUUAUGAUUAAUGUAUUAUACGUCUUUCAUCUUACGCCGUCGUCCUUUGUCCGUCUCUCCCCCACCAUUCCUUUUUUCACACAAGCCAGGAAAGGAAACAGCACACGCACGCAACAGUUUUUUUUGGAAUAACUAAGUAAGUCCUCUUCCCCUCGUGCGAUCCCAACACAAGCAUGAUCCUGGGAUAACAACACGCGCACCCACGCCUCCGCCGACGCAUGCUUGCCCCCAUCCGCCAGAGUCCUCUGGUCCAUGUUCUCCCUCUCUUAUCCCUCCUCCAUUUAUGCCUUAUCGAUCCUAACACGAUGGUGCGCGCAUGGCGUGCAUGUAAGGAUUAUGUUCCAGUUGUAAUAUAUAUCAAUCAAUAGUUGCUUCAUUUUUUCCUUUACGACUUUUAUUUUUCUCAAGACUAUGAGCAUUAUAAACUCUUACUUGAUCUUUAAAGAUUUGCGGGAAUAAAAGGCCAAUGUUAGGUGUUUUAUGCACUAUUAUAUUGUGACAAUACUCACUACUGCUCUAUUUUAUUGAUCAAGUGAACUAUAGACACAAAUGGGUAUGUGUGGAUAUUUAUUUCUAGAAGGCGUCCUAUGUGUAUCUCUAGGGCUUAACUAGAUGUGUCCUACUAAAAUAUUUGGUUUUGUACAAUUGUAAAUUGUUUCUUCUCGUUGGGAUUGAUAAAAAAAAACUAUUCAAUCGGAAGAUAUUAUUUCACUCAGAACAAUCUGAGAAUGAUCUGAUACGUCCCCAAGAUCUGAUACAUCCACAAUUUCCCCUAAUUAGAAACGUUUGGCAUUAAUUAAAUGGAUUUCGAUUUAUGGAAGGCAAUAUUAAGUCUCCAUAAAUAUCUCUAUACACGGCCUGAACCUCCUAAUUCCCUACCCACCCCAGUUUGCAUAUAUUCCAUCAGGAAUAACCAAACACUCACGUGUUUUCGGUCACCGAUGGAGACGAUCAUUGGAAGCACUGCGCCCCUAGGGGUUGUUGUGCCCACGUCCCUGGAGGGUGCUGUCCCCGAGACCCAAGAGGUUGUGCCUGUCGUGGUUCUAACUCUGACAGUGAUGUAGGGGGGUGAAUAUGGAGAGGCUAGAUCUUAGCUAUUGGGAAGUUGUUACACAUGAGGUUUACGAGUUCAGGCCCUUCUUAGAGGAAGUAAUAGCCCUACGUCUCGGAGCCCGAAGGCGGUCGACUGGAUUAUGCGUGUAUGGAUACAGGGGUGCGAACCCUUCAUACUGAGGAGGGGGGUGGCUUAUAUAGAGUUCGCUGGACCCCUCCCGCCCUCAGUAAUGCAGGGUUUAAGGUACAUUUAAGGUUGGGCGUUUCUGGUAACGUCCCUAAUAAAGUGCUAUAAUGAUCAUAAAGACUACUUAACAGCCGACCGUUUGCCUGCGGAGUGACUUUAGGUCUCCUGGCAGUCGAGUGGUUGGCUUCAUGGUCGAGUGAUAGCUUCUUGGUCGGGUGUCUUGAACCCGUCGAGUGGGAUACCUUCAAGUCGAUUGAAAGGUGACUUCUCCUAGGGAUGUCCUAGGGUAGGACUCUUUGGUCAGGUCCAUGUCCCUACCCUAGGUACAUGUCUUCAUCAUUAGCCCCCGAAUGGAUCGAGGUUAGAGCGGGGAAAGAGUUGGAGAUCUUUCCGACUGGUUCUUCGGGCUAUGUGAGCGCCUCGUUUUGGGUCAAUCGUCACGGAUGACGUUGCCAACCUUUUUCAGUCGCCUUGAUCCAUUCCAGGCCUUUCGCCGAGUGAAUUUCUUUGUUUGUGACAUACCGAGCGCCGGCGCGAUCGGGGUCUUCUGUUUUGACAAGUUGUUUUGUGGCCCGCGGAUGUCGCGGGAUUCGGAUUUUGGGAUGUGCGCGGGACGGGAGCGGCCGCAGUAAUCGGAAGCGAUAAAGCGGAAGCUCCUCGAUCCCCGCGUCGUCUUUUUCGCCACGUACUGCGCACGCGUCUGCUGCGGGAUUUGACUGGAUAGCCUGGGCCUACCAGUCAGCCACUCGGAAGCGGUCCCUUAUAAAUCGCCGGCUCGGGGUUUCCAAGCAGUGCGCUCUAUUCUCCUCCUUUCUUCCGCCUCUCCCCCUUCGCAAGUCCCUCCGCCACCUCCGUUCCCGCCCCAACGCAGCAGGCCCGUGCGAGACUUUGCCGGCGACGAUGACGAAGAGCAAGACCUCCGCUCUGGAGCGCGCGAAGAAGGCGGCGGCGGCGGGGAAAGGGAAGAGGUCAGCUCGGGGUGGAUCUUCCUCUAGGACCGCUCUGCCCAAAGGUUGGAUCCAGGGCGACUGGAUGCCAUCGGUGCUCCAGCAAGAGGAUCUCGACGAUAUGGUCGAGGGGGGAGUCAUUCCCCACGAAGCUGCGCGUCUUCCAGGGGGAGAGAUCGAACCUCAACCCCGCGACGGUGAGUGCGUGCUCCUAGCCACCCACAUCGACCGAGGGUUUUCUCUGCCGCCCCAUCCUUUCUUCCGGAGUUUCCUGAAUUUCUUCGGAGCGCAGCUCCACCACUUCACUCCCAACUCCAUUGUCUACCUUGCUGCUUUCAUCUCCAUGUGUGAGGCUUUCUUGGGUUGUCGACCCCAUUGGGGACUCUUCAAACACAUCUUUACCUGCCGUUCUCAAUCGGUCAAGAAGGCUAAGUCGAGUGACGAGAGGACGCAGGUGAUCCAGCUGUGCGGGGGCCUGGUGAUCCAGACGAGGGGGAAGAGCUGUUUUCCAUCUAUCACCUUCCCGGAGUCGGUCCGUGGCUGGCAGUCGACCUGGUUCUACUGCAAGGACGAGGCGACCCCAGGACAGUCGACUGGUCUUCCUCUUUUUUCCCUCGACCGAGCCGAGAAGCCUGCCUCUCUGAAAGUCGCGCCGGAGGAAAAGGCCCAAGUCAAGGUGCUGGCAGGUCGAGUGGUUGAGCUUGUCCGUGAGGGUGUGACUGGUAUGGACCUGCUGGAGGUCUUCCUUCAAAGGCGCAUCCAACCGCUCCAGGCCCGCGACCACCCGAUGUGGCUGUAUUCGGGUCUUGAUGACACCACUCGGGUCCACCCGGAGGAGGUCACCGACGAGAUGGUGGAGGGUGGCUGUCGAGCAUCACGGGGAACAAAGACAACCCCCGAGGAGCCAGGAGGGUAACCCCUCUCGACAACUCGUAUGAGGUGGACCAGGUAUGUCUUUGUGCUCCCGACUGAUAUCUUGUCUUCUGCAUUGGUCUUCUUUGAAUAAGUCGAUUGACCUUCGUCUUGUCUGUUGUUUUCCAGGCGACCACCGAGAUGUACUCGACGCCCAACGGGGCACAGGGGUCGACUGAGGAAGGGGAGGCGAGCGGAGGCGAGAGCGGGGACGACCAAGGCGAGUGGGAGUCCGACGGUGAGGGAGAGGGAGGCGACGACAUCUUCUCCAGCGAAGGGGAGGAGGAGGAGGUUGAACCCCCCCGCCCGGAGGGGCGAUCCAAGCUCACCCACGAUCCAGCGCGGGAACGUGGCAAGGCGACUGCUCCUGUUGGGAAGUCGUCGAAACGCCCUCGGACCUCUUCUCCUCCGCCGACUGGGAAGGCUCCCAAGCAUCCACGAGCGACGCCAUCCAAGCCGCCCAAGGCUCUGCCCAAGAUGAAGAUAGCUGUUCCUACCAUUUCUGGGUAAUAAUAAGACUUGCUUUCCUUUGUCGACCGUGGACGGAUCCUUGGUCGAUUCACUGAACCAACUGAUUGACUUUCGAAAUUUGCAGCGGUGCUACUUCUGAGGUCUCCGCCAGGAACGACGACCAAGAGAUGGAGGACGCUGUUACCUCCAACCCUGGUACGAUUGCUGACGUCCUGCCUUUGAGUCGACUGAACCUUUAUUGCUACUCUGGUCGAUUGAAUGUUUUCCUUGUAGCUCCUCAUGUUAUUGACCUCCCGGAUGACGACGACGACGAUCUGUUGAGAGUGAGGAGGCACAAGAGGGCGUCGGCUGACAAGACCCCGCAAUCCGCUCCGGCGUCCGAGGCCGUGGCUUGGGAUGGUGGUGACACCACUCGGGCUUCUGUGACCUUCGUCGUUCCUCUGGUGAGUGCGCGGCCCUCGGCGUCAACUGCGGAUCCACCUUCGCUUUUUGCUGCGUACCCCGUCCCUGAGGACCAAGCGGCUGCUGCAAAGGAGGCUAUACGCCAGGCGGGGAUCAUGAUGGAGCAAGUGAAGAUGGCUCGGGAGGCCAGCCAAGCAGCCUAUGACGCGAGUUCGGCUCUUCAGAGCAACGUCCAGGUGAGUCGACUCGACACUUGGUCUGUUAUGAUAUGCUGUUUGAAGAGUCUCUUUUUCGAAGAUCUUUUGUAUCUGUAUCUGUACACCCACUGGGUGUGUCUGCCAAUCCUUUGGACGAGUGGGGGCACGCUAAGUGCACCCACUGGGUAUAGUCCCCGAGACUACGGUGGACUGCUGGCAGUCGACUGUAGUCUUUACAUUGUGUUGUUGUAGCUGUAUUUCUUCGCUCGGUUUGGUCGGGCCAGGUCGCGUGGAAUUGUAUCCGGUCGACUGCGGCAGUCGACUUUAUUUUUUUGGUCGAACCAGUGGGGGCACGCUGAGUGCACCCACUGGGUGUAGUCCCCGAGACUACUGUCGAAUGUUUUUGAUUCGGCUGUGGUCUUAGAAACGUCAUCAUUGUCUCUUAGUUACUCGGAAGCAACUUAUCUUGGACGUCUGUCGACUGAUUUUCCUUUUUACAGAAAUCUUGCGAACUUGUAGCUCGCUAUACUGAGUUGGAGAAUCAGCAGAUCCAGCUCAACCUUAACUUGAAGCUUGCUCAGGAGAAUUUGAGGAAGGCGCAAGAAGAAGCGAAAGGUAUGGCUGGUGAGGUUCUCUAUUCUUAACGGGUGGCUUUUCUUUCUUGUCCAUUCUUGAUGUUGGUUCCACUCGACGCGCCACAGAUAAACUGGAGGAAGCUCUGAAGAAGAAGGACCAAGACCUUGCAGAGGCACAGAAGGAGGCCUCAAGCAAAACGAAGCUUGCAGAGGAGAAAUUGGCUUCGGUCGGAGCUCUUGAAUAGGAGAACUCCAGACUGAAAACCGCUCUCGAGACAGCUAAUCGAGAUGCCAGUCGACUGAAGAAGGAGAAGAUGGCUCUGCACGACAAGGCGGGUGAGCUGGUGGGGAAGGUAAAAGAUCUGGAAACACGUUGUUCAUGUUUUAACUUAUCUAUAUAAUAUUUUAGGGGUAGGAAUAAUUUUGUUAUUAAGCUACUCUAAUGGAACCACAUCUUUUUCUAACAUAUAAUAUAGUGGAGAAUAACUUGUGUACGCUGCUGAAAAUUAUUUCUAUUAGGAAAUGAACAAUGGAAACAUGCACAGAUAGAAGGAUAUGGGGCACCUUCCAUCUGCCUGAGUGACCAUGUCCUGUCAUACUUUAAUGCCUACGAUGUUGAAAAUCAGGUGGAAUCAAAAGUUUCUUUAUUAUUUGGCUUUCAAAGAUGGAAGUUGCCUUAUUAUUUGGAAGGCAAUAAAGUCACAAAGAUGCAGCUGUCAAACAGGAUGUGAUCCCUUCAUAUAACCUUUGACGAGCUCCUGUUUGAACACCCAUCCCUGUCUUCACCAAUUUCCGAUCACUCACCACUCUCAUCAAUGGAGGUUGUGCACGAAGCAAUGGAAGUUCAGGUCGGACCACAAGAGGCUUUGCCCGCCCCUCAGGAGGCUGCUGCCAAUGCAAAUGCUCUAGCAGAUACCGUUGACUAUAUUUUUCAAUCUAUCACUGCUGAACAAGACGAUGAGGCACUAAAGUAAGUUGUAUUGCUCUGUCUAUUACUUGGUUUCAAUAUGCAUGGUUUCUGAUUGCAUAUAUUUGAUUAAUUACUGCACAAUACAUUAUUUUAUUGCCCCAUAGCAACACAAAGGCAUUCGCCUAUGUAAUGAAUAAGUUAUUUGGUUAUCAUGGGCCUACAUUAUUAAAUAACUAUUAUUGAUACGUGUUAAUUGUCUGAUACACUUUUUUACCUAUGGUACAU
rnacentral:lncRNA from 1 species